UACGUAGGGGGCAAGCGUUGUCCGGAUUUAUUGGGCGUAAAGAGCGUGUAGGCGGCUUUUACAGGUCCGUUGUGAAAACUCGAGGCUCAACCUCGAGACGCCGGUGGAAACCGUAAAGCUAGAGUCCGGAAGAGGAGAGUGGAAUUCCUGGUGUAGCGGUGGAAUGCGUAGAGAUCGGGAAGAACAUCAGUGGCGAAGGCGGUCUGCUGGGCCGUUGCUGACGCUGAGGCGCGACAGCGUGGGGAGCAA
rnacentral:rRNA from 1 species